rnacentral:rRNA from 1 species
GACGAACGCUGGCGGCGUGCUUAACACAUGCAAGUCGAACGGAAAGGCCCCCACUUUUUUGGUGGGGUUGCUCGAGUGGCGAACGGGUGAGUAACACGUGGGUGAUCUGCCCUGUACUUCGGGAUAAGCUUGGGAAACUGGGUCUAAUACCGGAUAGGACCAUGGUUUAGUGUCUCAUGGUGGAAAAAUUAUUGUUUUGGUGCAUGAUGAGCUCGCGGCCUAUCAGCUUGUUGGUUGGGUAAUGGCCUACCAAGGCGUCGACGGGUAGCCGGCCUGAGAGGGUGGACGGCCACAUUGGGAGUGAGAGACGGCACAGACUCCUACGGGAGGCAGCAGUGGGGAAUAUUGCACAAUGGGAGCAAGCCUGAUGCAGCGAGGCCGAGUGAGGGAUGACGGCCUUCGGGUUGUAAACUCCUUUCGUUAGGGACGAAGCCGCACCUUUCUUGGGUGUGGUGACGGUACCUUUGUUAAGAAGCACCGGCUAACUACGUG